GUUUCUCUGAAUGUAGUAAUUAAAAAUAAUGCACCUGAGUUAGAUUUUUUUUUUAAAGUAAGAAUUCAGGGACUAGAAAUACCUCAGUCUAAUUGCCUGCCACUUAAUUAUUUUCACACUCCACAGGGAACUGAUUUUCUGCUGUAUUUUUCACCUGUGUCCCAAGCAGAGUCUUGGAACCAAUCCCCCAUUUCUCCGGCCUCACUCUGGCUUGCAGUAAGAUAAUUUCCAGUUUCCUCUGACGUUCCUAAAUGCCACCUUUUCCUCCCUAAUUCACAUUAUCGCCUAUUUGUCUUUUACUGUACUUUUUUAUACCAUAUUUUAAUUAUUUUUUUGGCAAAGCAUUAAAUGGUUAAAUGGUGCAUUUAAAGAGAUUUGUUAUCUGUUUGUAAAUAUUUCCCAUGAAAAGAAGGCAAAUAAUAAUACCCUGACACUGCAUUGUAGUAAAUCUCUGUCUCUUUUGCUUUCAUCUUGUCUAGGCACAGAGAUGUUACCAGAAUGUUUUUGGGUCGAAGUUCUCCUUUGGAAAAUCUAUGGGGUGAUGUGUCCUCAGCCACCCUUUGGUUUUUUCCUGGUCAUGGGUUUCAGUACUAUCUGGGGAUAAACCAAGAUAACUGCCAUGGUUAUGUUAGCUAGAGUGUCCAUUGGAUCUCAGCUUCUGGUUUAUUUUCUCCCAUAAGAUGACCUGAGGUAUGGAGUGUAUCCUCUCAAGGGAGCAAGUGGAUAUUCUGGGGCUGAGGGGAAUCUUCCGGUGUACUCUUAUUUUGAAACGGGUAACCCUUUGAAAUGUUAAAAUUGCCUUCCCUCAACCAGGCUUCCAUUUCUUGGAGACAAAUUGCUGGUCAGCCAAUCAGAUGCUGGUAAUGAGGGGAAAACACAGAAAUAAUUUCUGCCCCCUGGAUUCUCUAAGGGGGCAGAAAAAUAGUGAAAUUAAUAUAGUAAAAGAAAAAGAGUAAAAAAAAAAAAGUGAAAAAUUUGUGGCCCAAAAAAUAGUAUCCCAAAAGACAAACAACAAGAACAAAAACAAAACUGACUCCAGUGAGAUGGUGUAAGAGCUUGCAAAGUAAAACGCAACUGGGACAGUCACCAAGAAAUACUGCAGUGUCUCCUGAAUGGGUGGUUCUUGAGCACACAAGUGAGCAGGAGUGGGUGGAAGAAUCUCUCAAGUUAUUGAAUGGCCUGACUUGAAAGGUAUACAAUAUAAGCAACUUGGCCGGGCGCGGUGGCUCAUGCCUGUAAUCCCAGCACUUUGGGAGUCUGAGGCGAGUAGAUCACAAGGUCAAGAGAUCAAGACCAUCCUGACCAACAUGGUGAAACCCUGCCUCUACU
rnacentral:lncRNA from 1 species